rnacentral:rRNA from 1 species
UUCUAAGGGCGGUGUAGUCAGACCGGAAGGACUGGUGGAGCGCUUAGAAGUGAGUAUGCCGGUUUGAGUAGCGAAAGAAGGGUGAGAAUCCCUUCCACCGAAUAUCUAAGGUUUCCUGAGGUAGGCUCGUCCGCUCUGGGUUAGUCGGGACCUAAGCCGAGGCCGAUAGGCGUUGGCGAUGGACAACUGGUAGAGAUUCCUGUACCAGUGCUAAUUGUUUAACCGAUGGGG